rnacentral:rRNA from 1 species
UACAGAGGUCUCAAGCGUUGUUCGGAUUCAUUGGGCGUAAAGGGUGCGUAGGUGGCGUCGUAAGUCGGGUGUGAAAUUUCGGAGCUUAACUCCGAAACUGCAUUCGAUACUGCGGUGCUUGAGGACUGGAGAGGAGACUGGAAUUUACGGUGUAGCAGUGAAAUGCGUAGAGAUCGUAAGGAAGACCAGUGGCGAAGGCGGGUCUCUGGAC